CUUCGCAGCCUGGAGUCCAGCUGGAGACAGAAGUGGAUGAGGUGUAGGAGUUGUGUUUUCUCCUCUCUUGCUCUGCUACGCACAUUUCUCCUCUUAAUUUCCCUCCAGUCAGCACCACUGAGGAGCCAAGAGUCUUCUUGAUGGGGAACUCUGUUACCCCGAUUCCACCCAGAGCCCUGAGAUGGGCGGGAUGUGCGCGGGCGGCCCCUGCUGAGCUGAAACUCCAAGCCAAGAGCACAAUAAAGUUUGAAGAGCUAGUCUAUGCAGCAGUUUGAGAAGAGGAACCGAUUCCCUCGGAAUUCUUGCUUGAUUUGACCCCUUUAACAGAAGGCAGGGGCACUGACGGCAGCCUCACAGAUCCAUAUAAACCUCAACGGAGAAGCCGAAACAAGGGAGACACCUCUCUGCUUUUGACCUAAUGAGUAAAUCACUGCAUGUCUUUUUCAAAAAAAGGAAUUGCAAGCUGAUUCUGAAUGUCCAGCAGCUUCUGUUGGAACUCAUAGGGCUAAAUGUCUUUCGCAGAGGGCUUUUAUCUCAGACAGAGUUAGAGGCGUGACUUACUGGUUAUUUCCCCUCUGCCUUCACACUGAUAACUCAAAUGAUAAAAUUCUAACAAUCAAAAUCAACAUGUUUUAUUAGCAAAAGAAAAGGCCACUGGGAGUCCUUAUACUGUAUAGAUAUAUCUAUGGUGAAACAUACUUGACAUUUUAGCCAAUCCAUUGUUCUUUUUAUUGAAAACAGGUUCCUGGAUCUCAUACCAUGGAAUAGCUCAGUAGAUGAAAGAAUGAUAUUGAGGCUAGGAUUUUAAAAAAGACCUCUCUAAGCCUUGAUUAAGAAAGAGGGAGAUUCAGCGGAAGGGGAAAGUAGCUAAGAACAUUAGUUAUUAAUUACAAGGAUAACAGGCUGAGUGCGGUGGCUCACGCCUGUAAUCCCAGCACUUUGGGAGGCUGAGGCAGGCAGGUCACCUGAGGUCAGGACUUUGAGACCAGCCUGGUCAACAUGGUGAAACCCUGUCUCUACCAAAAAUACAAUAAUUAGCUGGGCGUGGUGGCACAUGUCUAUAAUCCCAGCUACUCAGGAGGCUGAGGCAUAAGAAUCGCUUAAACCUGGGAGGCGGAGGUUGCAGUGAGCCGAGAUUGUGCCACUGCACUCCAGCCUUGGUGACAGAGUGAGACUUCGUUUCAAAAAACAAAAAUUACAAAGGUGACAAAGUCAGGCCCAAACAUAUUCUGUCUGGGCCUCAGAGAAUCAACCUGUGAAAUCACACAGCCCAGAGGGCCAGGACCUAUCCGUGUAAUUUCCUACUGAAGGCAAAGCAUGAGCAGUUGAUGUAUUUCACCAUAAUUACGCAUGCAAGAGUAUAUGUGGUGUGCAUAUAAUGAGAAUAUUUUUUUCAAAUCCAAACUCAGGACACAUGGCCUGACAAAGGACUUCUAAAAAUUGUUCAUUUUAAACAUAAUAAAACAGACAAAUC
rnacentral:lncRNA from 1 species